GCCUUUAUAGCACAGUGGUAGUGCGCGUCACUUGUAAUGACGAGGUCCUCGGUUCAAUCCCGAGUGGAGGCA
rfam:Penicillium marneffei ATCC 18224 scf_1105668340752 genomic scaffold, whole genome shotgun sequence.